GGCUUGUCCAAAGGUAGUGAGUUAUCGCAGUAGAUUGUUUAGUCAGUUACAGAUUGAACUUCUUGAUCUACUCUUUCCCGCUUCUCACUACUGCACUUGAAUAGUCUUAA
ensembl:misc_RNA Y_RNA Y RNA